UACGGAGGGGGCUAGCGUUGUUCGGAAUUACUGGGCGUAAAGCGCACGUAGGCGGCUUUGUAAGUUAGAGGUGAAAGCCCGGGGCUCAACUCCGGAAUUGCCUUUAAGACUGCAUCGCUAGAAUUGUGGAGAGGUAAGUGGAAUUCCGAGUGUAGAGGUGAAAUUCGUAGAUAUUCGGAAGAACACCAGUGGCGAAGGCGACUUACUGGACACAUAUUGACGACUG
rnacentral:rRNA from 1 species